AUGGUACAAGGCAUACAAGCUGCCAAGCUCGGGGACCCUCCUCGCGAACGGCCCCCCAGCAGCGUGAGGUCCUGAGCGGGCACUGUGAGGCCACGACGUGCUCCAGCUCCCUCGCCCCGAGGUGGUCGCAGGAGAUCCUCAGGUCGCGAACGUGCCGGCGGCGGGAGCUGCAGGCCGUGGUGCGGGAGGAGCGCUGCAAGCCGCUGAAGGAGGUCGAGCUGCCGGUCUGCGCGUGCCCCAGGUCGACAUGUUCGGGCACGCUAAUCCACGGCAACGUGCACACGAACACGAGGUUGAGGUCGCCCGCGAGGCGCUCGGAGGCGAAGCGCAGCCAGGGGGCGAAGCGGUCGGCGACGUUGUAGCACGGGGGCUCGUUCACGAUGGAGAUCUCCACGUGGCCGAGCGUCGGGGCGGCGUCGAUGGCGUCGUAGAAUCCAGAGGCGCGGCGCCUGGUUGCUGUCCGCUUGCUGAAGGAAAGGGCCGGGAGGUGGGCCCAGACGUGGCGCCAGGGGAGCGAGAGCACGCUGGUGCGAACUGCAGCGGCGAGAGGGCCGGGAGGCGGAGGAGGAUGCUGUGGAGGAGGAGAUGGUCGGGGAGGCCGCUGAUGCGAUUUUCGCCGCGGCCGGUGCCCAUGGCCUCGUCGUGACUCGAAGUUGGGCCGUCGUUGGGGUCGAUUUCUUUCGGAAUUCAUAGAGAUCGCAGGAGGAGGUGCAGACUUAAGGGUCGGGGCAUGUAUAUACGUAUAGCUAGCGCUGGUUUGGCCGCCGUCUCAUUUCUUCCCAGGAGGAGGAGGAGGAUAGGCGCAGCCGUUGCAUCCACACGACACCGUCGCCACCGUGCAGAAGGACACGCCGCAGGACCGCCGGAAGCAGCACGUCGUGAGGCACUCCUGCGGGUUCGUGUUGCGGAGGCAGCACCUGCAGCGCCGGCACGCCGUCGUCGACUCCGUGCCGUUCAGCGCGUCGGCCGCCACCUCCAGCAGCCGCUCCGGCUUGGGCUCCAGCAGCACGUACUCCGCCGCCGCCGCGCCGGCCUCGCCGCCGGCGGCGGCUUCUUCUUCCCUCGCGGCUGCUACUACUGGUGCUACCCAUCGGUCAGCUCGCCACCAAGAUUACGAACAAGCAACGUGGAAACCGGACCGAUACACAUGUAUAUUUGCCCGUACUGUAGACUGUACAGCAUACACAUACCUUGGGCUUGGACUUGGACUAGAUGGAGCGUGACUGAGAGGAGGGCCAAGAGGACCACGGUGAGAGUGAUCGUCGCUCUGUCAGCCAUGGAGUUCCUUGUAUGGAUGGUGAGAUGGUUUUUGGGUGUGGCCCAGCUCGCGAGCACUGUAUAUAUACUGUACACUCCUACAAGAGGAAGAACGAUCGGAGUCGGAAUGCUCAUCAGUUCCGGCCUGGAAUAUAAUGUGCGGGGAGGUUACGAUGGCGGCUUUCAUUCCUUUCGUCCAAUAACGCCCCUGUUUAGGAGGACGUAUUCAUGUGCAUUCACUUUUGCAGUUUCCCUUGCUUGCUGUAUUCUGGUUCAUCGAACAGUUCACAGAUUUUAUACGAGAUGACAGUGUGG